ACAGGUCUACAAACCAAACCCACGUGCCCUCGGCACAAUCUGGAACUAAAACAAGAAUCUGGGUCCACCGCCAACCCGGACGGCACCCAACGACCCGAAACAGCCUAGACUCUGCUGAAAAAUAAGCUCGGCACCCCAACACGAGCGUAAAUGCCUUCUAAACUACCCCAGGUAUCCAUCGCACUAAUACUGCAACGAUAUAGUCAAACUACGGCUCCUA
rnacentral:lncRNA from 1 species